UCUUGAUUGGUCUAGUGGUCAGGAUACCUGCUUGUCAUGGACGAGCGUUCGCUCGUCGUUCGGCAGUGCGCAGGUGGCCGGGGUUCGAUUCCCCGAUCGAGAG